ensembl:lncRNA
GUUGUUUAAAACCAAAACUCCCCUACCUUUUAAAAGACAUUUGAGGGAGCAGCCAUUUCCACUUGGAAAGUGUCCCCUCAAUUCUUUCUGUGACGCCCUCUCAGUUCUUCCGGACAAUGUUCUCUUGUCCCAGAUAAAUCCACAGGUAUUUAAAACCACCUUUCCUCCACACUAGGCUUUGAGGAAGAACUGGGAGGCCGUCAUGCCAUUCACCGACAGCGAGGGCUUCACUUUUCUUCCAGUUCACUCUCGCUGCCGAUGCCUUGCUAAAACUUUUCACAAUGCUAUUAAAAGUUCUGCAUCCCCCUGGUCUUUAAUAAAAACAACAACAUUGUCGGCAUAAGCCGAUAAAAUCAUUCUUCUUCUAAAACCAGGCCCUCCAGGCUAGAGCGUAUUUUGCAGAGGAGGGGUUCUAGGGAGAGUGCAUAGAGCAUCCCGGACAGAGCACAACCCUGCCAGACGCCUCUACACACUCUAAAAGGAGCACACAGACUACCGUUUAUCUUCAGCACAUUCUCAAUGUCCCUGUACAACACUUUGAUCUUAGCUAUGAAACCAGCGCUGAACCCAAACUUCCCCAUAACUUUCCAGAGGAAGUUGCGGUCAAAAGCCUUUUCCUGGUCUAGAGAAAUACUAUACCACUAUAUCAGUUUCCAGGUCCUUCAGAUCUAGCGAUGUCUCUGGUCACCAGCCACGUGUGCUGUUGACAGAGGAGCCUAAUCUCAAUCUUACCCCACCACUGCCUAAGAUUGCUAAACUCACUCCUCAGCCUAAAAACACCCCAAAAACACAAGGACCUCUCUAAAAUUCUUAUCACAAGUUAGAACUGAGUUAAAAUUCCAAUAUGCACUUCUAGGUAAAACGUUUCCAAUAAAAACAUUACAUAAAAGCAAAGAAUGAUCGGUAAAACCAGCAGGGACAAUACUGCACAUCUUAAAAAUAUUAAAAUGUUGCUUAAAAACGAUCUAACAUGGCUGAGGAGAUUCUACGGGGGGGCCAUGUGUACUGCCGGCAGUCUAAAUACAUCCUUCUAAACACAUCCACCAGGCCAUGAGACUGGACCAGCUGUCUCAGAGCACGCUGGGAAGCUGAAUGUGGCUCUGCGGUAUUGCGGUCUUUCAAAUCAUUUUCCAUACAGUUAAACCCCCCCCCCCCAAAAAAUAAAAAAUCCUCCGGGGCACAGCCAUUUAAAACAUCAUAAUUUUUCUGUAAAAACAGCUUCCUCUCUGCACCGAUUGUUGGAGCAUACACGUUGAUAAAAACAACAGUAAAAAGGUCAAACUGUGCCUUGACUAAAAACAACCUCCCUUCAAUGAUGUGUUUGACCUCCAGUGAUAAUGGAUUAAAAGACCUGGAGAAGAGGAAGCCCACUCCUCCACUGAGGUUUGUAUGUUUGGCUUAGGAGCACUUCCCCUUCCCAUUCCCUCAUCCAGUCGGCCUAGUUGGUGCUGUCGCUAUGAGUUUCUUGUAAGAAGAGAACAUCAAUACACUUCAAUUUUUUAAAUUCAUAAAUCGAUGCUCUCUUCUUUUUAUCUCUGGCUCUGUUCACAUUUAAAC